rnacentral:rRNA from 1 species
UACGGAGGGUGCAAGCGUUGUCCGGAUUCAUUGGGUGUAAAGGGCGUGUAGGCGGAGAAAUGUGUCGGGAGUGAAAUCGUGCGGCUUAACCGUAUCAAUUGCUUCCGAAACUGUUUCCCUUGAGUACAAGAGGGGCAGAUGGAAUUCCUGGUGUAGCGGUGGAAUGCGUAGAUAUCAGGAAGAACACCAUUGGCGAAGGCGGUCUGCUGGCUUGUAACUGACGCUGAGGCGCGAAAGUGUGGGGAGCAAACAGG